UAUAAAUUAAAUAAUUUUUAUUUUUAAAGUUUAAAUUUUUUAUUUUAAAUAAAAUUAUAUAAAAUUAAAUUAAGUUUAAUAUUUUAAAAUCAAUAAAUUAGAUUAAAUUAUAUUAAAAGUAAUGUAAAUGAAUUUAUAAAAAUAUUUAUAUAAGAAAUUUUUAUUUAAUGUUCCUUUUGUAUCAGGAUUUAUUAAAAAUAAUAUUAUUUAUAAAUAAUUAUUCUCGAAUUUGUAAGAGUUAAUUAAAUAUUAAAUUUAAUGUAAAAUUAUUAUUUUAAAUAUUUAAUUAGUGAAGAUAUUUCAUUAAAUUAUAAAGAUAUCUAGUUUUUUUUUAUUUAAAUUAAAUUUAAAUAUAAAUUUAUAAUAAUAUUUAAUUUAAAAAAUUUUAUUUUAAUUUAUAUUAAAUAUUUAUGGGAUAAUCUAUAAAUAUUUUAAAAUUUUUAAUAUUUUUAAUUAAUAAUAAAUAUAUAUGAUUAUAAAAUUUAAUUUUAAUAGAAAAAAUUUAAUAAUUUAUAUAAAAAAAAUAAUUAAUUUAUUUUAAAUAAAUUUAUUUUUAUAAAAAAAUAUUUUUAAUAAUUAUAUAUAUAAAAUAAUAAUGAUAAAAUAAGUAUAAUUUAAAUUAAUUUAAUAUAAAAAAUUAAUUUAAAAAAUUUAUAAAUAGUAAUUAGGCAAUUUAAAUAAAUUCAACUGUUUAAUAAAAACAUAGUUUUUUGAAUAUUAUAAAAAAUAAGUUCUGCUCAAUGAUAAAUAUUAUUAAAUAGCUGCAGUAAAUUGACUGUACAAAGGUAGCAUAAUAAUUUGUCUUUUAAUUGAAGACUUGAAUGAAUGAAUUAAUGAAAUUUAUACUUUCUUUUUAAAAAAUUUAAAAUUUGAAAUUUAAGUAAAAAUGCUUAAAUUAUUUUAUAAGACGAUAAGACCCUAUAGAAUUUUAUAUAAAAUUUGAUAUUAAUUUUAAUUUUUAUUUAUUAAAUUUUAUAUUUUAUUGGGAGGAUAAUUAAAUUAAAUUAACUUUAAUAAUUUAAAAAAAAACAUUAAUUAAUGAUUUAAAAUGAAUAAUUUUUAAUUAUUAAAGAAUUAAUUACCUUAGGGAUAACAGCGUAAUAUUUUUAGUGAGUUCAUAUUUAUAAAAAUGUUUGCGACCUCGAUGUUGAAUUAAGAUUUAAUUUGAAUGAAGAAGUUUAAAAUUUUAGUCUGUUCGACUAUUAAAAUCUUACAUGAUUUGAGUUUAGACCGACGUGAGUCAGGUCAGUUUCUAUCUAUAAAAAAUUUAAUUAAGUUUGUACGAAAGGACUAUUUAAUUAAAAAAUUUUUAUUAAUUAUAAAUUAAAUUAUUUUUAAAUAAAAU
rnacentral:rRNA from 1 species